UACGAAGGGGGCUAGCGUUGCUCGGAAUCACUGGGCGUAAAGGGUGCGUAGGCGGGUUCUUAAGUCAGAGGUGAAAUCCUGGAGCUCAACUCCAGAACUGCCUUUGAUACUGAGAGUCUUGAGUUCGGGAGAGGUGAGUGGAACUGCGAGUGUAGAGGUGAAAUUCGUAGAUAUUCGCAAGAACACCAGUGGCGAAGGCGGCUCACUGGCCCGUAACUGACGCUGAGGUGCGAAAGCGUGGGGAGCAAACAGG
rnacentral:rRNA from 1 species